rnacentral:rRNA from 1 species
GACGAACGCUGGCGGCGUGCUUAACACAUGCAAGUCGAACGGAAAGGCCCUGCUUUUGUGGGGUGCUCGAGUGGCGAACGGGUGAGUAACACGUGAGUAACCUGCCCUUGACUUUGGGAUAACUUCAGGAAACUGGGGCUAAUACCGGAUAGGAGCUCCUGCUGCAUGGUGGGGGUUGGAAAGUUUCGGCGGUUGGGGAUGGACUCGCGGCUUAUCAGCUUGUUGGUGGGGUAGUGGCUUACCAAGGCUUUGACGGGUAGCCGGCCUGAGAGGGUGACCGGCCACAUUGGGACUGAGAUACGGCCCAGACUCCUACGGGAGGCAGCAGUGGAGAAUAUUGCACAAUGGGCGGAAGCCUGAUGCAGAAACGCCGCGUGCGGGAUGACGGCCUUCGGGUUGUGAACCGCUUUCGCCUGUGACGAAGCGUGAGUGACGGUAAUGGGUAAAGAAGCACCGGCUAACUACGUG